rnacentral:rRNA from 1 species
AUUGAACGCUGGCGGCAGGCCUAACACAUGCAAGUCGAACGGUAACAGGAAGAAGCUUGCUUCUUUGCUGACGAGUGGCGGACGGAUGAGUAAUGUCUGGGAAACUGCCUGAUGGAGGGGGAUAACUACUGGAAACGGUAGCUAAUACCGCAUAACGUCGCAAGACCAAAGAGGGGGACCUUCGGGCCUCUUGCCAUCGGAUGUGCCCAGAUGGGAUUAGCUAGUAGGUGGGGUAACGGCUCACCUAGGCGACGAUCCCUAGCUGGCCUGAGAGGGUGACCGGCCACACUGGAACUGAGACACGGUCCAGACUCCUACGGGAGGCAGCAGUGGGGAAUAUUGCACAAUGGGCGCAAGCCUGAUGCAGCCAUGCCGCGUGUAAGAAGAAGGCCUUCGGGUUGUAAAGUACUUUCAGCGGGGAGGAAGGGAGUAAAGUUAAUACCUUUGCUCAUUGACGUUACCCGCAGAAGAAGCACCGGCUAACUCCGUG